CCUACGGGGGACUGCAGUGAGGAAUAUUGGUCAAUGGGCGAGAGCCUGAACCAGCCAAGUCGCGUGAAGGUUGACGGCCCUACGGGUUGUAAACUUCUUUUGUCAGGGAGCAAUUGGGUCCACGCGUGGGCUUAGCGAGAGUACCUGAAGAAAAAGCAUCGGCUAACUCCGUGCCAGCAGCCGCGGUAAUACGGAGGAUGCGAGCGUUAUCCGGAUUUAUGGGGUUUAAAGGGUGCGUAGGCGGAAUAUCAAGUCAGCGGUAAAAAUUCGGGGCUCAACCCCGUCGUGCCGUUGAAACUGAUGUUCUUGAGUGGGCGAGAAGUAUGCGGAAUGCGUGGUGGAGCGGUGAAAUGCAUAGAUAUCACGCAGAACACCGAUUGCGAAGGCAGCAUACCGGCGCCCAACUGACGCUGAAGCACGAAAGCGUGGGUAUCGAUCAGGAUUAGAUACCCUGGUAGUC
rnacentral:rRNA from 1 species